GGCAAAAGAGAAUGUGGCGUUUAGGAUGUGGCGAUUAGAUGAAACUGACUCUUGGGUUCUCAGCGUUAGAAUCCAGUUGUACAGUAUGACUGUACAAUAUAUAUGUACAGUUUAUAUGUACAUUUUACACCUGUACAGUAUGUCUGUGUGUACAAUAGACGACUUAUUUGUGGAUUCUGUUAAUCAAAGCUUAAAACGCUGCUUUGACAAUCCCUGAUUUCCCACCAGACAACAUGUUAACAGCUUUACCUGUUCAGUGUGAAUUGGGUCAAAUGACAGGUGCAAUAAUCGAUAUACAUUUGGUGUUCAUUGUUUUUGCAGAGUACAAUUUAUUCAAAGCCGUUUCUUUGAACAAUAUUUAAGUUAAAAAACUUUUGCCUUUUAACUAAAUUUUGUAAAUAUCAACAUUUUGUUUAACCAUAAGAAAAUUCAAGGAGAGAAAAAAAAAUAAGUAUAAUGUAUGCAUCGCUUUUUUUGAACAGCAUAGCCAAAUUUGGUUCAAAGAAAUGGCUAUUAUACGUUCGAGGUUAUUUAUGUGCAUGUUUUUCAACGCCCCCUUACGGAUUUUCUCUAGAAUGUGCAUCCCCUAGUGUAGAUUUCGCUAGAAGUUCGGAGCAGAAUUCCAUUAUACUGAGUGGCAUAGACGACCAAAAUCGAUAUUGUUGAUCAGGUCUCAGAAAAUCCGGAAAAAACGAGUCCGUCUGCUUCCCUUGCGAUCGAUAUUCUGCCAUCAUUAACAACGUACCCGCUCUAUUCGGUCCAUACCGCCAACUUAAUUAAGGAAGGCUAAUCCAUCAAUGUCCGGCGGGGAAAUAUGAUGUAAAAAAGAUUGAAAUUUCUUGAAUAGGUUUUCUCUCUCUCUGUUCGGACUAUACACCCAGUUUAAAAAUCGACUUUGUUUAUUACAGCAAAUUGACUUUUUAUUAUUCCGUCAUGAUUUCUACUUUUUCAUAAUCAGAACUUUGAGAAAGCUGUAGCUAUACUGGUAAUUCACUCUCUGUCCUUGGUAGUACAUGUAAUUGGACAUAUGUACACCUGACAAAAUGUAUCAUGUCUUGGUACUCUUGUUGUUUUGUUGGACCGGACAUUGUCAUAUUUACUAUAAAAGAGAAAUAUCUGCAUGGGGGGUAUUUAUUAAUUUUCGAAACAAAGAACACGCAUAAUUUUUAGCCUCGGGUAAUGUUAAGAAGAUAAACGCACUGCAUGAAGCACUUCUAUAAUUAUAAUAAAUCCCACGCGGAUACUUUAAUUUGUGAUGCAGGAAUCACAUUUUUUUCGCGUCAUUAAAAUACCCAACCAGUAAAGUAAUACGAACACUUAGAUCUAUUUGCUUGGCACAUCAAUGAUAUUACGCCAGUUUGAAAAUCUUCAUUGAUCUUGUGUCGACAUUUUUAAGGAUGACGUAUGGAAGUUUUACAAAAUGAUAUUAUCUGUUGCAAUGAUUUGAUCGUUAUACGGUUUUGUUUUGUUUAUUAUAUUUAUUUACCUGAUUAAAUCUAAUUUAAUAUAUUUGUAGAUAAAUAAAGAGUUUUACUCAUUGUUUUGUUUUAAAAAUGAUUUUAAUUUUCGUGAUCGUUGUUAUGUAUUGAUAUUUUGCAA
rnacentral:misc_RNA from 1 species